rnacentral:rRNA from 1 species
GAUGAACGCUGGCGGCGUGCCUAAUACAUGCAAGUCGAGCGAACAGACGAGGAGCUUGCUCCUCUGACGUUAGCGGCGGACGGGUGAGUAACACGUGGAUAACCUACCUAUAAGACUGGGAUAACUUCGGGAAACCGGAUCUAAUACCGGAUAAUAUAUUGAACCGCAUGGUUCAAUAGUGAAAGACGGUUUUGCGGUCACUUAUAGAUGGAUCCGCGCUGCAUUAGCUAGUUGUUAAGGUAACGGCUUACCAAGGCGACGAUGCGUAGCCGACCUGAGAGGGUGAUCGGCCACACUGGAACUGAGCCACGGUCCAGACUCCUACGGGAGGCAGCAGUAGGGAAUCUUCCGCAAUGGGCGAAAGCCUGACGGAGCAACGCCGCGUGAGUGAUGAAGGUCUUCGGAUCGUAAAACUCUGUUAUUAGGGAAGAACAAAUGUGUAAGUAACUAUGCACGUCUUGACGGUACCUAAUCAGAAAGCCACGGCUAACUACGUG